rnacentral:snRNA from 1 species
UUGAGCCCUCAAACUUGCA